AUUGAACGCUGGCGGCAUGCCUUACACAUGCAAGUCGAACGGCAGCACGGGAGCUUGCUCCUGGUGGCGAGUGGCGAACGGGUGAGUAAUACAUCGGAACGUACCCUGAAGUGGGGGAUAACGUAGCGAAAGUUACGCUAAUACCGCAUAUCUGUGAGCAGGAAAGAGGGGGAUCGCAAGACCUCUUGCUUUAGGAGCGGCCGAUGUCGGAUUAGCUAGUUGGUGAGGUAAAGGCUCACCAAGGCGACGAUCCGUAGCGGGUCUGAGAGGAUGAUCCGCCACACUGGGACUGAGACACGGCCCAGACUCCUACGGGAGGCAGCAGUGGGGAAUUUUGGACAAUGGGCGCAAGCCUGAUCCAGCCAUGCCGCGUGAGUGAAGAAGGCCUUCGGGUUGUAAG
rnacentral:rRNA from 1 species